UUUGUGCUUCCCAUUGAAUCCAGCUUAAGUUGUUGCCAGCCCUGCAAAAGAGUAGAAGGAAGAAACAUGAAGAUUAGAUUUGCGUAUUCGGCUACACAAAAGCAGGACAAGAAGAUACUAAUGCUUUAAGUAUCCUUGGAGUAGGGAUGAGAUCAAAAAUUAAACACACUUUCUUUUUCGUCUCUGAAAAGGACUAGAUUAUUAUCAAUUAAAUUGACCUGAUAAAUUUAAUAUAUACAUUUUGAAUCACUCUUCAUAUUGUAAUUUAAAUAAAAGAAAGUGGCCAGCUUAACAAGAUCACACUUUCUGGUAUUUAAAUUCUGCCCAGCAUCGAUGAUUAAUUAUAAAAGCAGUCAAAGGCCAACAUAGUACAAAUUAUUGGCAUAAUAAAUAUUGUACAGAAGAAAAUAACAACAAACGAGAGGAGACACGACGAGGCGCGACCAACUGAAAUAUUAAGUGCGAUUAAAAAUGCAAUAAAUGCGGAGCACAUAAAAGCGAAAUUGAAUAAUUGUGUGACACAUUUUUUCGCCCAUAUUUAAAACACGAUGUGCAUAUUUGCAAGCCAAACAGGCAAAAGAGCAAAUGAGUUAAACAGUAGCCUUUUCAUAAUUAAAAUAUUAAAUAAAGCCGGCAAAUUUGCUCCCAGCUCACCGAAGUCACGCAAAUAAAACAGGAGAGCUUUAUUUCCGUUUAUUGUUGCCAUGUUGGCUCCGUUUAUGCCCCAUUAUGACUCAUUACCCCAAGAAAUCAACUUUAUGGACUCCAAAUGUUGAACCUAAAAGUUGCAGUAGUAAGAGCUCUUUAUGAUCCAAAACCCGUUGCUUCGAUUUAAAUAAUCCUUGAGAACUGCAUAAUGAUGAUGGUUGUGUUAGUAAAAGGGGUUUUUUUGCAAUAAACUUUCUCUCAUUUGAGUUUGGGCCUCGUCUGGUCUUGUUUUAAUUUUUUUUGGAGCUUGUCUCUUUUGUGGCAUGAAUCACUUUUCUCCACGUUUUGUUUUCUAGCAACCGCAAAAGACAAUACGGUGGCCUGUGUGUGUGAUUUCCCAGUUUGCAUGUGUGGAAUGGCACACACACACAUACACACUCACGCACUUGCUGAGAAAGACUGCUAUUUAAUUUAUGAAGUAGAGCGCGUAAAAAUUGUGCAUUGUGGCGUUUUCACAAUGAGCAGAGUGCGAAGGGGAAUGGAUAAAACAGGGACUUAUCUUGCACUCCAUGCACGCUUCCCCAUUUUUCCUCGUUUUCCAGCUAUUUCUUUUUUGUGAGCUUGGCACAACAAAAGACAGUUUAGAAAUCGCUGAAGGGUCGCAGACCGACAUUGUCAUUAUGUUUCGGAAUAGAUGCAAAUGCUGCCAGUUAUUAUGUCAAGUGUUUGUCGCUUUAAGGGGGCUUACUCUCAACUGUGCUACAUGGAAUAAAGGGGGAGAAUCUGAGAAUUAAUCGACCAAUGUGGUAAACUAUUUACAUUAAUAUAUGAAGGGGAUGGAGAAAGUUUGAUUUAAACUGCUCUCUUUCGCUAGUCUGGCUAAUUCACAAGUCUGUCGGUGCAAGCUAAACUCUUUAGGCAAAUUUAUCCGGCAAUCACAUAGACCAUUUAUCAAAUACUCGUACUUUUCCCAUCCCUGCGAAUUAGAGACGGAAACUUUUCUUGCAACACACACCCACGGACACUUUCGGCAAAACUUUCAUCGAACUGGUAGCAAUUUAACACCAUUUUAUGCAGGCGUGAGAUGGGCGAAAGUUAAUCUCCUGCUAUAAAUCACAAGUUAUUAAUGCUCAACGUGUUCGCUGUAGUGCUCAAUUUCCCAGAGGAAGCUGCUGCAUCAUCGUGAUUAGCAUCAACUGUGACCUUAUUGGCGUCUCAUCACCAUAGGAUCUAGUUAGUUGCCUAAUUAGUGGCAAGCUCUAUUUAACCCAAAUUUCAGCAGCUUACUUAAGUUGUAGGAACUUUGCAUGCAGCCAUAUAAAGAGAACUUGUUCAUAGCAAAGUUUUCCUGGGUAAGUUAAUAAUGUUGUAUAUAUUUAACCAUUCUUAGUGUUUGUUGACCAUACUGACUAAGAGUUAAAAUGCUAAGAUAAACUCCAAUCGGGCAGCUCAUCCGAAAACGUGUUGAUUGAGCUCAUCAACAGUUGGAAAUCAAUGCCAGGACCUUACAAUUCAGUAUCCGUAUGGAGCUGGGAAAAAACGGACUAGACUACGAUGAGGAGCAGCAUCUCAUGUUUCUGCGAAAGAAAUGACGAUGUCAUUGUCAUUGGCCAACCAGGCCAAAACUCCAGCGUCACGUAACGUCAACGAAACCAGUGCCAAACGCAAAGCAGAAUCCAAAUGCGACUACAGAUUAAGGCGGGGAAGGGGCCGGAUGGAGGGGGCGUGGCAGCAGAUAAGGGGGCGUGGCAAGGACUCCGGACAGAUUCGAGGAACAAGGGGACAAAGCAUGAGUUAUGGCCAGAUAUGACGACUGUGCUCAACAAUUUCUCUCCAUGAUUCUUUAUGAUUGUGGUGCCGGGUGGUUUCUUAGUGGGUGGUGCCGUGAUGCAAUAGUCACUGUCUGUUCAGCACAUGGGAAGCAUUUUUUACGAGCGACAUAUGUUGCUUCAAGUCGCCUAAGAAAAUAUACUCUAUAUAUAUUAUACUAUUUAUAAAGCAAAAACUAAAGUUAAGCUUCAGUUAAAGGUAAUAUUGUUUUAUUAUUUUAGACACUGACGAAAAAAUAAGAUUUAAGUUUAGUUCGUUUAAGCUAGAUUGCAUGAUUUUCAAUACUUUUAUUUCUAUUAUACAUUUAAUAAAUAUUACUUCUAUUGACAAUCUUCA